GUUUGACCAUUCGUCUUAUUCAAAAAAUUUAUGUAAUUAUAAUUUAUUUUGUUAUGAGUUGUUUUAUCACUCAUAGUACUUUAAGUGUGAUUUAUAUCUUAUAUAUUUGCAUAAAAUUUUUGAAUAAGACGAAUGGUCAAAC
rnacentral:pre_miRNA from 1 species